rnacentral:lncRNA from 15 species
AGAGACGUUUUGUAUCUGAAAAUGUACAUUAAAUGGUGUCAACAACAUCUCGGAGGUCAGAGUAGAGUCCCCAUGGAGACUGAAUCUGGCUGCUGCGCUCGAAGACUCGACACCCCCCUGAGUGGCGGCUCUGUGAUGGCUCUCAGUUUCUCUCGUCAUGUCCCUGGCAGCUUUGACACAGGGAGCAAAACAAGGACUCUGAGCUGCCACUGGGCACUGGACUCAUCCAGGGCUUUCAGCCUUCAAGAGGACUGAAGUCCGCCUUUAAGGUGAGCUCAAUUUUCGUCCCAUUUACACUAUUGUUACAAGUGUCGGAUAGAAUGCAUCUGGUAGAUAGUGGUCAAACAGUGGCUGUCUGAAGAUGACACAGGAACAGAGAUGUAUCCGGCACCCAAGGUCAUCCUAUUCCCAUCUCCGGCACUGUCACAAAUGUUUAGAGCUUCUGUAAAGGCACACUCACAAAGAGAAACAAUAUCAUGAAUUUUGCAUUCACUGGCAUUGUGCUCUGUGCUUGCAAAAUGCAAAGUACAGCUCAGCAGGCCAAUACUAAACCUGUCCAACAAGACCAACCAUGAAAUGCAGACAGAGAAUAUGUUGCUCUGCUAUAAUACUCCAUUGUUCUCUGCACAAUGACAGAGCUCCACUGGUUAAAUAAUAAUGAAGCAAACCAGCAUUUCAAUUUCUUUCCCCGCAUAUGUCAUGUUUGCAAAUAGCGCUCUCAGAUGUUUAACACGCCCUUAACCUACCUGCGUAACCUUGUGCGGUACACUUGUGUAUUUAUGUAAAACCUGAGCGAUUUGUCUGUUGACAAUAGGUCAAUCCGUUACAGAAGUUACCUAGCACAUUACAAGGUUGGUCUCAGGGGAGAAGUAAUGGGUUCUGGGCAAUUGACCAACCUGCCAUGCUUUAGUGCACCUGCACUGAGUUAGAGCUGUCAUCAUUACCACUUCCUCUAACGUUCCCCCACAGCAACCCAGACACUCCCACUUCCAGCGAUAUUUCACUUUGGUGGAACAUUUUCACUUUUUAUCAUGCAUCCCUUCGUAGACGAGUGGAGGCAGUCUAGCUUUAAGAUUUGAAGCAGUAAGUAACCUCUAACGGGCCUUUGGGGUCCGCACUAAAACAUAAUGUUUCCAAAAUAGCUCCCAGUCACCAAGCUAUGAUUCUGACUUAAACUUUUCAGAUUGAGAACCAUGCUUGCCAAAAAGAAAGAAAUUUUGAAGAUAAAAGGUUGUAAAAGGUGUCUACCCACAUUUUCUCUGUGUCAAAAUAUGAAGAAUAUGAGGUUAGUCAUUUGAAUGGCAUUCAUCCUCUAUUUUAGUUGAGUUAUUCAAAAUGAUUGCAAGAUUGUACAGGCUGAAAAUAAUCAUUAGGCAGUUCUGUAAAGAAAAAAACCCUGUUUGAAUGGUUCAUUAAAAUGAAUCAAAAAAGGAACAAGCUUCUACAUUAGUUAGUUAAUCAAGACUUUCUGUGAGGAAGCACCUUCAACUUAAUUUCUAUCUUUCUUUUUUCGUGAGUGCAGUUACACUACAUACAGGUCAGGAGGUCGCAUACAUAAAGCUUUCUGAUUACUUACUUAUAUAUUUAUUACUUACUAAUCAUCAACUAACAUUUGUGCUUCAACAGUUGUUGCAGUUUUAUUAGCGACGAGGUUCAUCGUGAACAAACAGUUGAAGAGAUCCGUUUUCCUUAAAAAAGUUCAGGUUUUAUUAACAAAAUGAUCUCAGCACAAGGUCUGUUUAGUUGGUGCUCCAGAGCUUUCCAUCAUAUCACAUGAUUUUCAUCAGCAGAUGAAGUUUACGCAAUUUGUAGGUGCUCAAAUUUUCCUUUUUUAUGAGCCAUGGAUACGUUUCGACAUCAGCUUAUGCAACAAAGAAUGCAAGAAGUUAAAUAAUACAAAUGUUUAGCAUUCAGCAUUUAUACAACAAAUAUCAGAGAUGAUCAAGGCCUCAGCGUAGCGAGCCUGUAGCAACUUCGCUCUGACUUGCAGAUGUUUUUCCCUCAGUUUUCACUUCCUCCUCCCACACACGUCUUAUAUCAGUAUUUGCCAGAUCCAAAACGACCAGCUUUGAAAAUGAAGGAGAGGAACUUUACAUUGUGCCAGAAAAAGGAAUGGAAAUUACGGGCAGUGUCAGAUAAUUGAGCUUGUCGUAAGAGACAUGUUAAUAACAGGCGGAGAUGCAGAAGACUUGUCACUCCGUACCCUGGGUGACAGACUCUCUCUGCUGUUGAUGAGCUGUUUUAGGGGGGAAAUUGUUCCACGCAAACACCAUCGUUAUUACAAGCUGGCAAGCUGCUCGCUUGUGUACCCAAUUCUGCUUGAACUGACAGAAUCCAAUUGACCGGCACAUAUUCAUGCACUUUAUUUUCUUUAUUCUCACCAACAAUGCAGAUAAUUACUGCACCAAGUAAAACUGAAAAUAGAAUUUCACUGUGUCCCAGAAAACAAUGCCAGAGCUGUCUCAGCAACAUGUCUGCUGAAAUUGCUGUGACUGGGAGACCUACUGUAAGACAAGCAGCAAUCCAAUAUUACUUGUCAACUUAAAACUUACUGAAACCAUAUUGGCAUUCUCCUCUUUUAUAAAACAGAGGGAAAUAACUUGCAUUUUUCAUGCUGUCAUUGUUCUCUGCAGCAAAGCAUGGCCACAUGCAGACCUUUAUUCGACAGAGCAUGUAGAGCUUUAUCAGCACUGUUUCUCUUGUGUUAUGACCUCCUUGUAUCCUGUCGUGGGUUAAUACCACAGAAACAGAUAUCUUCUAAGACUGGGUGAUAGUAAAUGGAAUUACUAUCACCCAGUCUUAGGAGAUAUCUGUUUCUGUCGUCUGAGACAGCAUCAACAUGUAGAUACUCUCCCAAAGGCUGAAAUAACAGUAUCAACUUUAAACUGAAUCAUUAUUCGUUGGUAAUCGGCCACAAACUAUAAAGUGCACCUUUAUGUGCAGAACAUGGCAGUGUUCUGGGGGUGACUUAAACAUGAAUAAUUCACCAUUUUCACAUCUAUUCAUUUGCCAUGGAAGUUAAUGUAAACAAGUCUUAUUCCCAGGGGACGAAUACAGGAAUAUUUUAAUAAAACGAGCCAUAUUUCUGUACGAAAAUCACAUUUUUAUGGCAGAAUUUGUUGUUUUUUCCUGUAAAAUCAUCUCCUGAUUUACUGUUUUACUUUAAAUUGCAUCAAUUUGCAUCACUACGUGGCGUCUUUGGCGUUGAUGAAAUGAAAUUGUAAUUUACUACUUUAUGUUUUAAUCUGUGUUGUUUGUUGAUUAAUUUACUGUUAUAACUGGCCUUUCAAUGAAGUAUUUUUUCAAAUGCAGUAUCUAAACUGCUAAAAAGCAUCGCACCAGACAAUAAUUACCUUGUUUUUGUUGCUUGUUUCUAUAAAAUUCACAACUAACAGAUAUUUAUAGCAGUGCAUGUGGUUUUCUUAUUACAGCUGGAUAAAGAGCAGGUUUCAGAGGGCUGGAAAAUUUAUAUGGACAUUACCCUGAUAAGUUUAACUACUAAAUGGGUUCAUUUGUCUAAAAAUAGGUUUUGGUGUGGUUAAAAGGCACAUUUACCCGAAAUUUCAUGUCUGUGUUCCUAUCAUUAAUCCCCUUGGGAGUUAGUGCGAUCAGCCGAGUAGCAAAUGGGACGUUGUCUCUGAUGCCUGUGCCUUUAGAGAAUAGCGCCCAUGGCGGGACGGUAAAGUGUCUCCCAGGGGCCAGACCACAUCUGCUGAGUUCACGUCGCUCUGUCACCUCUAACACAACUCAUUAAUAAGGAUAUUUUACUGAGGCCAUGUCGGUGUGUCAUGUAUUUUAUUUUUUUUUAUAUACACUUUAACUUUGUUGUGAGUCCCACUGUGCAGAGGAUGUGUGGCUGUCAUACUAAUGUAUAGGGACACUCUAGUGUCGCUGUCCAACAAG